GGGGUGCCUAAAAGCUCACACGCGCGCACACAUAUCUGCAUCGAGCCUACCAUUAGAAACGGGAUGGAGGCCCUCGACAACUACCUCAUCGCCCACUACGACGGCCACGCCGUGCAGAAGUGGCUGGCGAGCAACGUGGACAUUAGUGUGUACAUUGCUGCGGCCUACCUAACCUUCGUCUUUAAGGGCCCGCAGUUGGUGGACUUGAUCUUCCGCGGCAACCCACCGACAAGGCUGAUAAAGAUGUGCUGGACUCUGUGGAACAUCGGACUCGCCGUCUUCUCCAUGUACGGGGUGUACCACAUUGUUCCCCUCUUCAUCAACAACCUUCGCAAGUACGGCCAGAAGGACGCGCUGUGCCGGUUCCGCGAAGAUGAAUUCUACACCGGCAAGAACGGCGUUGCCAUGGGGCUCUUCUCCCUUUCGAAACUGCCCGAGUUCGGCGACACCUUCUUCCUGAUCAUGGGCGGCAAGCGCAAGCUGCCCUUCCUCUCGUGGUUCCACCACGUCACCAUCUUCCUCUACGCGUGGAUGGCGUACCAGCAGGCCUCCAGCAUCUGGAUCGUGCUGGCCUCCAUCAACUACUUUGUGCACUCCAUCAUGUACACGUACUUCGCCCUCGCCGAGGCUGGCUUCAAGAAGCUGGUGAAGCCGUUCGCCAUGUACAUCACGCUGCUACAGAUCGCGCAGAUGGUGGUGGGUCUCUACUUUACUUUCUCCUUUAUAAGCUACCACAAGGCAGACCCGAAGGGCUGCAACGGCUCGACGAUGGCGCUGGCACGCGGCCAGUGCAUGAUCUACUUCUUCAACCUCUACCUCUUCUCAGAGAUGUUCAUCAAGGGCUACGUGCUGCCGCGUAAGGCGGCGGCUGGCGACUCCGCAGCUGCCACCGCCCCCGCUGGUAAGAAGCGCAACUGAUGAGCACUCGUGUAUAAAGCGGCCGUAAGCUGGGCGAAGACGUGUGACAGCGCGAAGAAGAUGUACUGCUUCUUCUUUUUGUUUCUGUUUUGGUGGUGGGGAGAGGGGAUGGGGUAUCUCUGUCUGUGCUGAGGCUAUGAGCCUCUUCCCUCUCCCUCGUUGUUCUCCGCCCGAUCCGAUGCCUCCAGUACAUGGCCUUGUAAGGAGGACGUAUGUGUAAGGCCAGUGACACUCGCUCUCUUCAUCUUUCUCCCUCCGAUUUGAUUUGUUUCUCUCUCACUCCGUUGCAGCCUUGUACGGCGGCGGGACACGAUUCCGAGGCUGCGAGCAAGACGGCAUGAAGAAGAAUAGCCUACAAGGUAACUUCCUUUACGCUUUUAUUUUGGUUUGUUUGUUGUGCGGUGACGUGUUGCCUAAAGGCCCGCCCACCCCACCCCCUCGUCCUCGCGCAUGCGACUGUUGUGCAUGUGCGCAUGCACGUGGAUGACCGGAAAGUAACGGUCAUACAUGUGCUGUAUAGAGAGAAGGUUUCUGUUUGGAGGUUUGUAUGCAUAUUGUGAGAGUGGUGACGGCCGAGGCGUCUGUGAGCAAAGUCGCCUUCCGCAUCCCUUUCUUUUCGCCUUGCAUGAGCUCUCUAUCGUCGCCGCCAACACCAUAUUGGCCCAGCCGCCAAGCGCGGGUGCACCCGACGCGAGACAGUGCACGUAGAAAAAGUUGGGUGGAGGUGCCGUGCGCGUCAUGUCGAAUAGGAAAAAAUAAAAGACGGCACCGCACGUGUGAAGCCGAAGCCGGUUGUUUCUGCAGGGUUCAUCGGCACGUCGUUUUACUGGUGCCGGAGAGACGGUGGACGUGGCGAAUGAGCGGGAGAGUUGCAGGGCAGUCGGAAGAGGGGGAGGAGUGAUGGCAACCAUGUGUGCGCCUAAGCACGCAUGCGUCUACUACUCAUACGUCGUGAUUGGGUAUACGUGAUGCUCGACGUGCUAUCCUGCUCCCUCCUUCCCACACACCCUUCGCUCUCGCUCUACCUUAUC
rnacentral:misc_RNA from 1 species